AUGAACGCUGGCGGCGUGCCUAAUACAUGCAAGUCGAGCGAACAGACGAGGAGCUUGCUCCUCUGACGUUAGCGGCGGACGGGUGAGUAACACGUGGAUAACCUACCUAUAAGACUGGGAUAACUUCGGGAAACCGGAGCUAAUACCGGAUAAUAUAUUGAACCGCAUGGUUCAAUAGUGAAAGACGGUUUUGCUGUCACUUAUAGCUGGAUCCGCGCCGCAUUAGCUAGUUGGUAAGGUAACGGCUUACCAAGGCCACGAUGCGUAGCCGACCUGAGAGGGUGAUCGGCCACACUGGAACUGAGACACGGUCCAGACUCCUACGGGAGGCAGCAGUAGGGAAUCUUCCGCAAUGGGCGAAAGCCUGACGGAGCAACGCCGCGUGAGUGAUGAAGGUCUUCGGAUCGUAAAACUCUGUUAUUAGGGAAGAACAAAUGUGUAAGUAACUAUGCACGUCUUGACGGUACCUAAUCAGAAAGCCACGGCUAACUACGUG
rnacentral:rRNA from 1 species